AAGACUAUACUUUCAGGGAUCAUUUCUGUAGUUUCUGACUUGAGAAAUGUGCUUCUAAAGUGUAUGGUCUCGCUAACCAUGAUGAUGAGUUAUGAUGUUUCCUUCUGAGCAUGAAGUGGACAGAGAUUAACAGUCCAUUUCAUAUGUUCUCUGUCAUUGAUGACUGUUCAGUGUUUCUAUGUAAGCACAGAUGAAGGGAAUACGUUCAGAGUGGU